CGGGGAGUGGCGCAGCCUGGUAGCGCACCUGCUUCGGGAGCAGGGGGUCGCAGGUUCGAAUCCUGUUUCCCCGA
rnacentral:tRNA from 1 species